rnacentral:rRNA from 1 species
CAGAGGGUGCAAGCGUUAAUCGGAUUUACUGGGCGUAAAGCGUGCGUAGGUGGCGAUUUAAGUCGGAUGUGAAAGCCCUGGGCUUAACCUGGGAACUGCAUUCGAUACUGGGUUGCUAGAGAUCGGUAGAGGGCAGCGGAAUUCCGGGUGUAGCGGUGAAAUGCGUAGAUAUCCGGAGGAACACCGAUGGCGAAGGCAACUGCCUGGGCCUGAUCUGACACUGAGGCACGAAAGCGUGGGUAGCAAACAGGAUUAGAUACCCUGGUAGUCCACGCCGUAAACGAUGAGAACUUGACGUCUGCUUGCUAUGCGAGUAGGUGUCGUAGCUAACGCGAUAAGUUCUCCGCCUGGGGAGUACGGCCGCAAGGUUG